UACGAAAGGUGCGAGCGUUAAUCGGAAUUACUGGGCGUAAAGCGCGCGUAGGUGGUGUGUUAAGUCGGAUGUGAAAGCCCUGGGCUCAACCUGGGAACUGCAUCCGAUACUGGCACGCUAGAGUGCAGUAGAGGGAGGUGGAAUUUCCGGUGUAGCGGUGAAAUGCGUAGAGAUCGGAAGGAACACCAGUGGCGAAGGCGACUUUCUGGUCUGUAACUGACGCUGAGGCGCGAAAGCGUGGGGAGCAAACAGG
rnacentral:rRNA from 1 species